rnacentral:rRNA from 1 species
AUUGAACGCUGGCGGCAGGCUUAACACAUGCAAGUAGAGCGAGCGGCGGACGGGUGAGUAAUGUCUGGGAAACUGCCUGAUGGAGGGGGAUAACUACUGGAAACGGUAGCUAAUACCGCAUACCAUCAGAUGUGCCCAGAUGGGAUUAGCUAGUAGGUGGGGUAAUGUCUCACCUAGGCGACGAUCCAUAGCUGGUCUGAGAGGAUGACCAGCCACACUGGAGCUGAGACACGGUCCAGACUCCUACGGGAGGCAGCAGUGGGGUAUAUUGCACAAUGGGCGCAAGCCUGGUGCGGCCAGGCCGCGUGUGUGAAGAAGGCCUUCGGGUUGUAAAGCACUUUCAGCGAGGAGGCGUUUCUCGCAGAAGCAGCACCGGCUAACGCCGUGCCAGCAGCCGCGGUAAUAC